rnacentral:rRNA from 1 species
GGUCAAGCUACAAAGGGCUCACGGCGGAUACCUUGGCACACAGAGGCGAUGAAGGACGUGGUUACCUGCGAUAAGUCUCGGGGAGCUGGAAGCACGCUUUGAUCCGGGAAUUUCCGAAUGGGGCAACCCUUUUAUACGGCCAGCUGAAUACAUA